GACGGGGGAUGCAAGCGGUAUCCGGAAUCACUGGGCGGAAAGCGUCUGUAGGUGGUGAUGCCAGUCACUGGUGCAAAACUCUGGCUCAACCGGAGGAAAGCCAGUGAAACUGCAUGACUAGAGUGUGGGAGAGGUAGAAGGAAUUCCCUGAGUAGCGGUGAAAUGCGUAGAUACAGGGAAGAACACCGGAGGCGAAAGCGUUCUACUGGAACACAACUGACACUGAGGGACGAAAGCUAGGGGAGCGAACGGG
rnacentral:rRNA from 1 species